UAUGUUUGCAGGUAAGACAUUGAGUACAAAAGAAAUCAGCGAUAGAUGAUAUUAAGCGUAUAGUAAGUACGUCGCCUUCUUUUGGGGAUCACGGAUCCUUUGAGUUCCU
rnacentral:ncRNA from 12 species